rnacentral:rRNA from 1 species
UACGGAGGUGCCAAGCGUUGUCCGGAAUCACUGGGUGUAAAGGGUGCGCGGGCGGGCUUGUAAGUCAGAGGUGAAAGCCACCGGACCUCAACCGGUGAAGCUGCCUUUGAUACUGCAAGUCUGAGUCCCGGGAGAGGGCUAUCGGAAUUCGUGGUGUAGCGGUGAAAUGCGCAGAUAUCAGGAGGAACACCGGUGGCGAAGGCGGUCUCUGGGCAUGUCCUGACGCUGAGGAGCGAAAGUGGUGGGGAGGCGAACAGG